UGCAUGUCUCAGUACAAGCCAAAUUAAGGUGAAACCGCGAAAGGCUCAUUAAAUCAGUUAUGGUUCCUUAGAUCGUACCACAUUUACUUGGAUAACUGUGGUAAUUCUAGAGCUAAUACAUGCAAACAGAGCUCCGACCGGAGACGGAAGGAGCGCUUUUAUUAGAUCAAAACCAAUCGGUGGCGGGUUCGCCCGUCAUCGUACAUUUUGGUGACUCUGAAUAACUUUUUGCUGAUCGCACGGUCACGCACCGGCGACGCAUCUUUCAAAUGUCUGCCUUAUCAACUGUCGAUGGUAGGUUCUGCGCCUACCAUGGUUGUAACGGGUAACGGGGAAUCAGGGUUCGAUUCCGGAGAGGGAGCCUGAGAAACGGCUACCACAUCCAAGGAAGGCAGCAGGCGCGCAAAUUACCCACUCCCGGCACGGGGAGGUAGUGACGAAAAAUAACGAUACGGGACUCAUCCGAGGCCCCGUAAUCGGAAUGAGUACACUCUAAACUCUUUAACGAGAACCCAUUGGAGGGCAAGUCUGGUGCCAGCAGCCGCGGUAAUUCCAGCUCCAAUAGCGUAU
rnacentral:rRNA from 1 species